rnacentral:rRNA from 1 species
AACGAACGCUGGCGGCAGGCCUAACACAUGCAAGUCGAGCGAGACCUUCGGGUUUAGCGGCGGACGGGUGAGUAACGCGUGGGAACGUGCCCUCUUCUGCGGAAUAGCCCCGGGAAACUGAGGGUAAUACCGCAUACGCCCUUUUGGGGAAAGAUUUGUCGGAGAAGGAUCGGCCCGCGUUGGAUUAGCUAGUUGGUGGGGUAAUGGCCUACCACGGCUACGAUCCUUAGCUGGUUUGAGAGGAUGAUCAGCCACACUGGGACUGAGACACGGCCCAGACUCCUACGGGAGGCAGCAGUGGGGAAUCUUGGACAAUGGGGGCAAGCCUGAUCUAGCCAUGCCGCGUGAGUGAUGAAGGCCUUAGGGUUGUAAAGCUCUUUCAUCCGGGACGAUAAUGACGGUACCAGCAGAAGAAGCCCCGGCUAACUCCGUG